AACGCAUAUUGCGCUCGAGCCCUCGGGCAAGAGCAUGUCUGCCUCAGCGUCGGUUUACACCCUCACCCCUCCCACUUUGUUGGGUAAGUUGGCAUCUCUGCCAGCCCUGGGGUGGAUCUGGCUUCCCCAAUCUGCCGUGGUGGAUUGGGUUUGCUGAAGAACAGAGGCUUAAGCAAGGACCCAAUAUGGGCUUCAACUGGAUAGGUAGCACCGGCUUGUGCCGACUACACGAAGUUGUAGCUUGUGGAUCUUGCUAGGGGCCAGCAGGAACGUGCCUAUGGCAUGUCUAAACUUUCGACCUGAGCUCAGGCAAGGCUACCCGCUGAACUUAA
rnacentral:misc_RNA from 1 species